rnacentral:rRNA from 1 species
UACGAAGGGGGCUAGCGUUGCUCGGAAUCACUGGGCGCAAAGCGCACGUAGGCGGAUUGCUAAGUCAGGGGUGAAAUCCUGGAGCUCAACUCCAGAACUGCCUUUGAUACUGGCGAUCUUGAGUCCGGGAGAGGUGAGUGGAACUGCGAGUGUAGAGGUGAAAUUCGUAGAUAUUCGCAAGAACACCAGUGGCGAAGGCGGCUCACUGGCCCGGUACUGACGCUGAGGUGCGAAAGCGUGGGGAGCAAACAGG